GACGAACGCUGGCGGCGUGCUUAACACAUGCAAGUCGAACGGAAAGGCCUUUUCGGAGGUACUCGAGUGGCGAACGGGUGAGUAACACGUGGGUGAUCUGCCCUGCACUCUGGGAUAAGCCUGGGAAACUGGGUCUAAUACCGGAUAGGACCGCACUUUAGUGUGUUUGUUGGAAAGUUUUUUCGGUGUAGGAUGAGCCCGCGGCCUAUCAGCUUGUUGGUGGGGUAAUGGCCUACCAAGGCGGCGACGGGUAGCCGGACUGAGAGGUUGGUCGGCCACAUUGGGACUGAGAAGCGGCCCAGACUCCUACGGGAGGCAGGAGUGGGGAAUAUUGCACAAUGGGCGCAAGCCUGAUGCAGCGACGCCGCGUGGGGGAUGACGGCCUUCGGGUUGUAAACUCCUUUCGCCAGGGACGAAGCGUUUUGUGACGGUACCUGGAGAAGAAGCACCGGCUAACUACGUG
rnacentral:rRNA from 1 species